rfam:TPA: Bos taurus chromosome 12, whole genome shotgun sequence.
UCCCUGGUGGCUCAGUGGUAAAGAAUCUGCCUGCCAAGCAUGAGACACGGGUUUGAUCCCUGGUCUGGGAA